rnacentral:RNase_P_RNA from 1 species
UCCGGAAGAAGGCGUCGGGGGUUGCUCACAGGUCCUUGGUGGCCUUCGAUCCCCCGGGAAGGUCUGAGAAAAGGUACGCCUGCAUUGGGCAGGUGUGGGCCUGAGAAGGGCCUCGCUCGGAAGAGCGGGAGGCUGUAACAGAAACACACCCUGCGGGGUUUGAACCACAGCCUCUACCGGCAGUGUCUGAGUGCGAUCGUCCAGUUAACACAAUUCAGACUAGUCUUCGGA